UUCAAGCUGCCUGAUUUUCUUUGCAUUCAGGAAGGCUUCCAUUUUCCAAGCCUCCCCCCCUCUCCUUUGUGUCCAAGCUGGAGACCAUGGGAGUAAAUGGCAAGAAGCUCCUGUCUGGCUCUGACUCAUUUCCUUCAUUUUCAGGCAUCAGUGAAAGCUUAUCACCAGUUCUUGAAUAGGAUGGUGACAUGUACCAUCACAACACACUUGCUGUCCUUGUUGGUCACAACGAUGUCCAGGUACAGCUGGUGCUCACAGCCUGGGAUGUUGUGGUUGAUGGACAUGGUCCCUACUGAGGCCAGGAUGGCCUUGGCCAAUCAGUCCUGGAGAGCAUUGUAGCACAGCUGACAUGCUCUGAUGUGGGGCUUGCAGGUGCACAGUAUGCGGGGGAGAGUCUCUGCCUCGUAACCACAGCAUCGGCACCUUUUGUCACAGUUCCCAUACUGAAUGGUGCUGUUAAGCAGCAAACAGUUGAGCCCUCAGAUAGGUGGCACCAUACCUCAGCUGAGAGUAUCUGAGCAGCCCAACCCAGACAAGGACCCUCAGUAAUUUGCUAUUUACUUGAGCCUCAGACAGCACAGACAGUACUACUCGUGGUUGCUGUCUUCUUGAUCUCCUGGCUGCCACAUCACAUCAUCACCAUGUGGGCAGAGUUUGGGCAAUUUCCACUGAACAAUAUCUCCUUCACCUUUCGCAUUAUCUCUCACUGCUUAGCAUAUGGGAACUCUUGCAUUAACCCUAUCAUUUAUGCGUUCCUCUCUGAGAACUUCCGCAAGGCUUGUCGGCAAGUCUUCACCUGCAAGUUCCUCCUGCAGCCAGCUCCUGCUGAGAAGCUGGUGAGGAUACGCAUGGAGAACUUCUCCACCACCCAUUCAACAACUAAUGUGUGAACUGGGUAUACAAAUAAGAAUCUCUUUCAGAAGAAAUUAAAGUUAAAAAAAAGAAUAAAAAUAUCUGACUCCUACUGAUUUAAUUCAAGAUUAGUAUGUGCUUUGUAAGAAUAACUCAUUCAUUAUAUCAGUGGCAUCGCAGGAGUCAGCCCUCCAAAAAGCUGUUGAGAACAGUUCACAGAGCUGGUUGUCAUGGCCUAUUAAACACUGGAUUCUGUAAACCUGUGGAACUUGGAUAUCCUAGUGAUCCUAGUGAUGGGUUCUAUGAAGUCUUUGGUAUCUGUAAAUCCCUAUAAAGAUGUUGAGACAGAAGUUUAUAUAGAAGGUAGUUUAAUCAGAAAGGAAACAACAUGGACCUGUGUUGUAAAAAAAGCUGUCAGUGAUUAGGUUAAACGCAAGUGGAAAUGUAAUAUUUGCAGAAAUUAUUUGUAGUAGUUAAGGAAGAGCCUUGAAGUGUUCAGUGAUAUUGUGUCUUAACUAAUGUCAGGGCAUUAGUGUUUCUAGGUUGUGUCGGUUGGGCUUAUUUUUAAUUCAUUAGCUUUGAUUAGGUCUUCCUGUUUCACAAAGGAUUUCCUUAAGAAGAGCAGGAGAAACAUGCAUGACCUUAACCACAAUUUGCUCUUAGAGAUCUAAGCAUUUCCAUUUGGCAUCUCCUUAUUGCCUUCAUACUUCUGGGAUUGAAUGCUAGUGUUCACCUGAAUGCAACUGAUAAUAUUAAUUAUUGCCUCUAGUACUGGUCUAUAUGAAUGAGAGAGAUUUGCUAAGCACUCUUACAAAAAGGGCAAAGCUACUGCAGCCUCUCUUUCAUUUACUUUGUGGCAGAAGUGCACACACAAUAGUUUAUUCACCCAUAGCCUUUGUGCCAGUCUCUCUCUCUUUAAAGGUAUUGCAUAGAAAUAGUUUUGUUGGUACACGUACUAUAAAGCAUGUAUACCCAAAUGCUUUUAUUGGACAGUGUGUCACUUGAAAUUAAGAGAAAAGGCCUCAUUUUAUAGAAUUGUACCACAGUCACUAUUUGAUUGGAUCAUCCAAACUGAGCACUACUGAUAAGAGCUGCUAUUUGUAAACAUACAAAAGUGUCACUAGUUCAUUCUGUAAAAUUGGCUGGAACAAUCUUAUUUGUCACUGUUAUGUAAUUAAGUCAUUUGACAAUACUGCAUUAAAAUACUGUGUGCAGCAA